rnacentral:rRNA from 1 species
UGGGGAAUCUUCCGCAAUGGGCGAAAGCCUGACGGAGCAACGCCGCGUGAGUGAAGACGGCCUUCGGGUUGUAAAGCUCUGUUAUUCGGGAAGAAAGAGUCGCUUGUGAACAAUGAGCGAAAGUGACGGUACCGAAAGAGAAAGCCACGGCUAACUACGUGCCAGCAGCCGCGGUAAUACGUAGGUGGCAAGCGUUGUCCGGAAUUAUUGGGCGUAAAGAGCGCGUAGGCGGUCGUGCAAGUCAAUCUUAAAAGUGCGGGGCUUAACCCCGUGAUGGGAUUGAAACUGUGCGACUGGAGUAGCGGAGAGGAAAGUAGAAUUCCUAGUGUAGCGAUGGAAUGCGUAGAGAUUAGGAAGAAUACCGGUGGCGAAGGCGACUUUCUGGACGAAAACUGACGCUGAGGCGCGAAAGCGUGGGGAGCAAACAGG